UUUUUUUUUUUUUUUUUUUUUUUUGUCUUUUGUCUUUUUAGGGCCGCACCUGCAGCAACAUGGAGGUUCCCAGGUAGGGGUCUAAUCAGAGCUGUAGCCACUGGCCUACGCCACAGCCAGAGCACCACAGGAUCCAAGCUGCGUCUGCAACCUACACCACAGCUCACGGCAACGCGAGAUCCUUAACUCACUGAGCAGGGCCAGGGAUGGAACCCGCAACCUCAUGGUUCCUAGCCAGAUUUGUUUCUGCUGCACCACAACAGGAACUCUUUUCCCUUAAAUUAAUUAUCAAGCAAACUACUGCUGACCCUGUGUCAAGGGAGAGAGAGGGUAACAGGGAAAUGGAUGGGAGGGAGAGACAGACAGAAUAACAGAAGAAGAAAGAGGUCCUACAUCCACUUUUGCUGAGAUUUGAGUUAGCAGGAAAUUCCAGAUCAUGCUACUGCUUAGAACCCAAAUAUGUUAACAAGAAAUGCCAUAUUACUUGAGAAAUUUUUCUUUCUGCUGUGUUACUCUUACAACCUCACAUGUCUGUUGCAGGCUGCAGCUUUCCUGUAAGGGCCAUCCAAAAGGCUGUGUCCUCUUAUCUCGGUUCCCUAAAGGGAAAGGAAGUCCCCUGUCCACCAUCUGGGUAUGGGGAAGACAAAUCCUACAAUGGGAAGAGAGCUAAUGGAGUGCCUAGCACAUGAAGGAAUUAGUCUCCAAUUUCAACUCACAGUUGUAGCUCCAUUAAGAAAAACUGAGGAGUUCCCACUGCAGCUCAGCAGGUUAUGAACCCAACUAGUAUGAUCCGUGAGGGUGCAGGUUCAAGCCCUGGCCUGGCUCAGUGGGUUAAGGAUCCAGCGUUGCCAUGAGCUGUGGUGUAGGUCACAGACAUGGCUUGGAUCUGGCGUUGCUGUGGCUGUGGCAUAUGCUGGCAGCUACAGCUCUGAUUCAAUGCCUAGCCUUGGAACUUCCAUAUGCCGCAGUGCAGCCCUAAAAAAAUAAUAAUAAUAACAAAAGAAAGAAAAGAAAAAGACUGAGGUUGGAGCUCUCUCGUGGAUCAGCAGGUUAAGGACCUGGUGUUGUCACUGCCGCAGCUUGGAUCACUAUGGCACAGUUCAAUCCCUAGCCCUGGAACUUCCAUGUACCAGUGGGUGUGGCCACAAAAAAGAAAAGACUGAGACAAAGAUGCCUGUAGGAUAGUGGGGCAGUCCAGACUACUCAGUUUGGAGGCUGGACUUGCACAACUGACACUUCACACCGGAUGAUCGAUCACCAACACCAAUCACACAAUGGUGACCAUGACAGGGAGGCCAGCACUAUCAGCACCAGCCAGGGCACAGCCACCAGACCUGCACCAAGUAGAGGGAGACUGCACCACGCUGGCCGGGCCUGUGCAGUGGACUGCUCAUUAGGGGAACAUUCACCUGAAACUUACAACUAACUUCCCAGUUCUGAGAUACCCAUUUUGACGUGUGAAGCACACCCUGGCCAGGAGGCUGUCUUUACUCAGCUCCCUGGAAGGAAGAGCACUCCCCAGAGAAGAGAUGGAGGCAGAGGGGCAGCAGCCAUGGAAUCAUCUGCUGAAAGCAGAAAGAAAGCAAGCUGAGCUCUCUCCACUGCCCUCGGCUUCCCACCUCGGUUCAGCCUCCAAGUCAAAGCCAACACUCUUCACCUCCAGCCCCACUGGAAGAGGCAGGAUGCAUGCCAUAUGGUGCAGGGAGCAGGGGCUGUGGAGACAGAGCGCCUCCAUGCUCAGCCCUCCCGUCUCCACGGAAUCUCAUGUGAAAGAGCAAGUAUCCAGUCCUCAGAGCUUCUGGUCUACCCAAGAUUCCUGACACUCUCGCUAACCAGGCUUUAUGCCGUAUGACUAACUCUAAACUCUAACAGGACUGAAUUUCAGGCUACUUCCAGUAAGGUUGAGCUCUGAGUUUUAAAUCUUAUGGUUCGUUUACAUCGGACAUAAUAAAUUCUGGUACAACUAAAAUAGAGAACAUCCUGACCUUCACUCAACAUCUGAAGCCAUCAUUGAACUCUUUCCUAAUUUUAAAUUAAAUUGAAAAUAUCUUCAUUUUUCAUUCAAACCCAAUUUUCAAACACAGUGUAAAAACAGUGCCUAAACUUAAGGGACGCUAUCUGAAACAUUUCAAAACACAAACCAAUUACACAAAAUAAAUUUAUGUGUAAAUAUGGAACAUAAUUAAAGUUUACUUAGAAUCACAGUAGUGGGAUCCUUUACUAUAGGAAAUAACGCUUGAGUGGAAACUUAAAUUCCCUCAUCUUACUUUAAAAGAGGAAAGGGAAAAAAAAACCACACCAUUAUCCUAAAUAGCCAUUUUCACAAUUUUAAUUAUAUUAUUGCACUCUUUAUGGCAUGCGAAAUAAGAAGACUAAAGAAUUACUAGGCUGUUAAAUUUGCAUUUACCUAAUCAAAUUGACAUUGUGUUGGACUUUUGAUCCGUUGAUUUUAAGUUUUUAUCUAUUCGAUACACAAUUACCAUUUACUACAGAAGUAUUUUAAUGAAAGUAGCAUCUUAAAGGCUUUUAAACAUAUCAGUAAAACCAAAGAUGUUUGAGGAGCUCAAUAAAACCACAAAUUCUGGUAGUUUUAAUUAGAUCUAUUAAAUUCCCAUCAUAGCUUGGACAUAAGUUCCUAUUUUCCUAUUUAAAGAGAGUACUGCAAACAUAUAAUAAAUAAUGGCAAUUAAGUUUUACAUUUAUUUUUCUAACUUAAAAACCAAUAUAUUUUUAUUGUAGAAAAUUGGGAACAUCGUGAAAAAUGUAAAGAAAAAAAUCCACAGUCCGAUAGCAAGAUAACUGUUAAUAUUUUCAUGCACUUCCUUUCAGCUUUUUUCCAUUUAUUUUUCACAUGGUUGAGGUCAACAUACUUGCCAUUUAAUAUCUUACUUUUACACCUAACAUUUAAAAAGUCAGCGUUUCCCAUGGUAUGGAAAUGCUCUUUUUAAAAAUCAUUUGGAGAAAAGGUCUUGUCCAUGGCUAGUCCUCUGCACUGAAGCAGCGGCUGGAUAUUGGCGGAAUAAAAUAAUCCACGAAUGAUUUAUACUAUCAUUUAUCGCCCCAUGACCUUAGUUCUGCACAUUUAGGUUCUCAAUUUUUCACUAUCAUGGGUAAUACCAUGCAUCUUUGUGCAUAAAGAUUUUUCAGGAUUUAGGAUUAUUUACUUGGGAUCAAAUUCCAGAAGUUGAAUUACUGGGUCAAGGCUUGUACAAACAACUUUAAGACUUCUGAUACCUAUCAUCAAAUUGCUUUCACCAAAGAGGUACCUUUGGAGUAUCUAUUUUCAGCACUCCUUUUGAUCUCAUAAGGCAAAAAUUUAUCUCAUAAAGACUUGUAGAUCUUUCACUACAUAUACUAUUUCUCCAAAUAUGUAUUAGACAUGCAUAUUUCCUGUUUUCUGAGCUGUCUUGCCAUAUCAUUUACCAAUUUACUCAGUCACCCGGUCUGCCCUGCACCAGUAGCCAUGUUCUUCCAUGCCCUGGAUGUUUCCUCUUUCAUCUUCUUUUACAAAAAAAACUUGGUUUUCUGUUAACUCUCUUACAGAAAUUUCAAAACGUUCACACACAGAUAUACACACACAUUUUAGAUAGAAUUUUUAAAAUACUGUUGCUUAUAACACAAUGUAAUACAUUGUAAAAAAAUUAGAAAGUAUAAACAAAAAGAAAAUGAAAGUUACAGAUAAGCACUGUUCCUAUUUUAAUACAUAUCUUUGCAAAUUUUGCUCUAUGCUAUGCUAUUUUACUUAUUUAUUUAUUUAUUUUGUCUUUUUGCCUUUUCUUGGGCCGCUCCCGCGGCAUAUGGAGGUUCUCAGGCUAGGGGUCGAAUCGGAGCUGUAGCCGCCGGCCUACACCAGAGCCACGGCAACGUGGGAUCCGAGCCGCGUCUGCAACCUACACCACAGCUCACGCAACGCGGAUCCUUAACCCACUGAGCAAGGCCAGGGACUGAACCGCAACCUCAUGGUUCCUAGUCGGAUUCAUUAACCACUGCACCAUGACAGGAACUCCUGCUAUGCCAUUUUAAAAAGAAUGUAUGUGGGAUCAUAUUGCACGUUGCCUUGUAGUGUUUUUUUUUUACUUAACUCUAUUUCAUUUAAACAAUUUGCCAUAUGAUCAAACUGCCCUUCAUGAUAUUUUUUUUUUACCUUUUUUUGGUCGCCCUGUGGCUUAUGUGGUUCCCAGGUCAGGAUCAGAUCCAAGCCACAGUUGUGAGCUAUGUGGCAACACGGGAUCCUGUAAACCCAUGGUGCUGGACCGGGAUUGAACCUGAGUCCUGGUGCUGCAGAGACGCCAUGGAUGCCCCUGCACCACAGCAUGAACUCCCCUUCGUGGGAACACUGUGAUAUGAUAGUUAUGAGGAUGGACUUUAGAGGCAUACAGGUAUGAGUUCGAAUCUUGCCUCCAAAAUCUUCAUUACAAGACUUAGCGUCUUUAAGUCCUAUGCUCAUUGGUAAAAUGAAGGUGAUAAUACCCAUUUAUAUAGACUGUUGUUUGAACUGGAUAAUAUAUACUAUACAGGGAUUUAACAGCAUAGUGAUAACAUGCUUCAUAUGCAUUUAUCAAAUCAAUGAAGGAUCAAUUAAAAAGUUGUUUUAAUUUCCAUUUCUUUGCUUUUUUCAUAUAUUUGGAUUUGUGCUUGUGUGUGUGUGAGGGUGUGACGUGUGCGAUGCCAAAUCUUCACAUCUUUUUCAUAUUUCUACUGCAGUGCUUUUCUCCCUUAUUGCUUUGAAUUCAUUUACUCAUUGAUUCACUUAUUCAUCUGACCAUGACUUAUUAAAAGUUACUAUGGGCUUAUUUUAUUAAGGAUAAUAAAUGUUUGUCUUUUAUGUUGCAAAUGUUCUUCCUAGUUUACAACUUGCCUUUUCCUUUUGUUUAUGGUAGUUUUUGAUGUAAAGAAAUAUUAAAUUUUCAUGCACUUAUUCUAUUUCUUAUUUUUUGUAACAUGCUGAGAAAUUCCUUCUCUAAGGGGAUCCAUUAUUAUUUGGAGUGAAAAGCUCUGC
rnacentral:lncRNA from 1 species